AUGGACUUUUAUUGGACUAUUGAAUAUCAACACCCAUUUACUGUCAGUAUAAAGCUUGGAAGAGCCAGGACAUUUCUUAUAAAUAUUAUCCCUUGUAAAUGUUUAUUACGCCUCCUAGAUUUUAAAUCCCAGCUUUUCGUGUGGAAUCUGAAAUUUGAGCCCCAUUGUAUGUGUUGCAUGCCACAAUGGGAAUCAUGUGGAUCAUGGUUUACAAUUAGACUAUUGGGGCCUAUCAGCUUUUUAAAACUGGAAAUGCUGCCAGAAACAAGACGCUUAAGUCAUGUGUCUUCCAACACAUGUCUAAUUAGCUUGUUCCGGGAAUGGUGGAGUUUUCCUCUGAGCCCAAUUUGCCUACUGCAGGAAGGCAGCAAUGAUUAGGUUUGGGUACCUAUGUAACCGGUAUGUACUAGAACCCAAUCAGAACGCAGAUUUUGGUGCCACUUUAAUGCCUGAGCGAUCAAUUUAAAUAUUUGCCCUGGUUCUCUGAAAUGGACGUAAGAAGCAUGGGCGUCGCUAUGCCAUUUUUAGCGGGGCUAUAGCAAUUAGCUCCAUAGACUGUACACAAAUUUGUGUUUGCCUCAGAGUCAGUCCCCUUAAAAAUUCCAUAUGAAAACGGUGGCAGACUUCCUCUCCCCCCUGUCUUUCAGCGUGCUUUUCAAUCCACAGACCGCGGCGGUGAAGCGUGAGUGGACUCAAACAGAAACAGAGGACACAAGUUGUGUGUUUAUCGAUACAAUUAUUUUUUUUUGGGUGGGCUUUUUUUUAAGUAUCGGUUCAGGGACAGUUUAGCCACCAGCAUCGUUUUAAAAGUACAACCCUAGUGAUGACACGGAAAAUUCUUUUCUGCUGCCUGUCACUCUUUCCCUCGCCCCUGUUUUUCUCUCCCAGAGAGUGUGUGUCAGUGAUCCAUAGCCUUCAUCUGGCAACGAAAAACAGCCAAGCAAUUUGUCCCGACCUCUGUCAUGUUUGCCCAGCCGCAGUUGCUGUUGGCGGAGUAGUGGCAGGCCCAAUCUGGUAUAGGAUGAGUAUAAUGGUGGCUGCAAGGCGCCCGUUGUCAAUUUGGACAUGUGUUUAUGCAUGGGUUUCAGGCCAUUGUGGUACAUUGAUAGGGGACAAUAGUAAUUUGCCUCAUUUCCAUGGGCUCAUCCCUAUUGGAAAAUGCGGCUGUACUUGUCCUGUGGUUUGAGAGCAUUAAAGUAGCUUGUGCUUCUUUGAGUGUGUAAAAUAUUAGAGUAAAUGUUCUAUGUGUUCAUUGAGCUUAAUGGUAAUGGCUGGUUAUACACUACUGUAGGUCUGCAGGAGAAAAUAAGAGGUGCUAAAUCAAAGACUGAGAUGAGCUGAGCUCUCUCAAGAAGACACCUGCUGCAAUAAAGGUUACACAAAUAUGGAUGAUCAACAAUGAUGACACGAAGCUGCAACAUGCAGCUAUCAGAUGUUUGAAUGGUUUUGUAAUGCAUGGGCUUCAUUAUCAUUUCAGCAACUUGUUCUAACUUGCACAGUGUUGUGUGAAAAUGCCUCCUGCUGUCCAAUUCAUGAAUUUGAAUUGAGGCAGCAAAGAGAAUGGAUAAUCACAAUUUGGAUUCAACUUUUCUACAAUUUGGAAAGUAGAAUUGUCAUGUUUUUCUUUUACUCCAGAUAGUUAAAUAACACACAGGUGGCAGUUCUUGAUGUUAAUGUGUCAGCCCGUAUGGCAGGAUACAGUGUACAGGAUAGACAGUCUUUAGCUGAUGCGGUGCGGCAUGGUGUGACAUGACAACUGUCGCGUCCGGUGUUGGGAUUUGCAGAUCCUCAGUACCACUGACAAACAUAUAAUCUUGUAAAAUGUGUGGCAAGUAGUACUGCCACUCCAUAGUAUAAACAGAGUAUGUGCAAUUGUGAAUCUUGAAAGGGAAAGUGAAACUAAAAAGCAAUCGUCCAUUAAAAAAAAAGUAGGGGGGGUAAUCACAAUGCCAGCUCAACAUCGUGAUGUCUAUUGGCCCAACCCUAAUCUGAACAUUUUCAGUAUGUUGUGCAUGAUUUCAUUAGAUGUCUUUGACCUGAAAUUUAAUAAUUUAUUGCAUGCUUAUAAUUUGUAGCCCUACAGACGUUGUCAAACAUUUCUCAAAUACUACAUGAUUAUAUUAAAGCUGAAGUCCGUUGGGGAAGUCAUGGUCUAAUGGUUAGAGAGUUUGACUCCUAACCCCAAGGUUGUGGGUUAGAGUCUCGGGCCGGCAAUACCAUGACUGAGGUGCCCUUGAGCAAGGCACCGAACCCCCAACUGCCCCCCCGGGCGCCGCAGCAUAAAUGGCUGCCCACUGCUCUGGGUGUGUGUUCACUGCUGUGUGUGUGCACUUUAGGUGGGUUAAAUGCAGAGCACAAAUUCUGAGUAUGGGUCACCAUACUUGGCUGUAUGUCACGUGACGUAACUUUUUUGGUUAAAAAUGAUCAGAAAUCAAUAUUUGAACAAGUACAUAACCAGCCACUGUUCAAAAUGGAUCGUUUAUAGCCUUUUCUCACAGCAGCUGGAAUCAUUUAGUUUUAUAAUUUUGAUGGCGGAUUGUAAUCCAGAAAGGAUUAUGUGUUUUUGAAACAUAUGUGACUGAAAUUAAAUUAUAUUCCAGUUUUUAAAUGUACAUCUGAUUACAGUCAGAUAGCCUGGGAUUACACAAGAACAAUUGUGGCAGACUUGUUACUUGUUCAGAUGACAGUAUCUGGUGAAAAUUCUUAUUUGGGUCAUACUUCCAAGAUGUAGGCUAGAAUCUGAAGUACUGUAACUGACAGCUACA
rnacentral:lncRNA from 1 species